rnacentral:rRNA from 1 species
UACGGGGGGGGCAAGCGUUGUUCGGAAUUACUGGGCGUAAAGGGCUCGUAGGCGGCCAACUAAGUCAGACGUGAAAUCCCUCGGCUUAACCGGGGAACUGCGUCUGAUACUGGAUGGCUUGAAUCCGGGAGAGGGAUGCGGAAUUCCAGGUGUAGCGGUGAAAUGCGUAGAUAUCUGGAGGAACACCGGUGGCGAAGGCGGCAUCCUGGACCGGUAUUGACGCUGAGGAGCGAAAGCCAGGGGAGCAAACAGG